rnacentral:misc_RNA from 1 species
UUUCCGUAGGUGAACCUGCGGAAGGAUCAUUAGUGAAUUAAACAUGCUUGGUGUCUUCGCUUCGGCAAGGCCCUUGCUUAACUCACAUCCCAACACCUGUGAACUGUAAGGCGCAUGACUAGGUUCGCCCAAGUCAUCGUCUGCCCUUUUUAACAAACAAUUAAUGUAACAAACGUAGUCUUAUUAUAACCUAAUAAAACUUUCAACAACGGAUCUCUUGGCUCUCGCAUCGAUGAAGAACGCAGC